rnacentral:rRNA from 1 species
CCUACGGGUGGCAGCAGUAGGGAAUAUUGCUCAAUGGGGGAAACCCUGAAGCAGCAACGCCGCGUGGAGGAUGAAGGUUUUCGGAUUGUAAACUCCUUUUGUUAGAGAAGAUAAUGACGGUAUCUAACGAAUAAGCACCGGCUAACUCCGUGCCAGCAGCCGCGGUAAUAAGGAGGGUGCAAGCGUUAUUCGGAAGCACUGGGCGUAAAGAGCGCGUAGGCGGGAUAGCAAGUCAGGUGUGAAAUCCUAUGGCUUAACCAUAGAACUGCAUUUGAAACUGUUAUUCUAGAGUAUGGGAGAGGUAGGUGGAAUGCUUGGUGUAGGGGUAAAAUCCGUAGAGAUCAAGAGGAAUACUCAUUGCGAAGGCGACCUGCUAGAACAUAACUGACGCUGAUGCGCGAAAGCGUGGGGAGCGAACAGGAUUAGAUACCCUUGUAGUC